UCCAGCUCCGCCCUUCACUGGAGCGAGCUCGGCUAUCUCUCCUCUAGCAAUCCCCAUCGUUGUUUCUUCCUUCUACAUUCUCAACUGCCAUCUCAGGUAACCCUAGCCGCCUCAGUCUCCAGCGGCCAUGGAGGGCUCUAAUUCGUCCUCCCUAGAAUCAGAUCUCGAGCAUGGCGGUCGAGCUAUCCACGUGCGCACCGUGCAUGGCUUGCUGUGUGGCCAGGUCCGGCGCCAGGGAAGCCAUCAAGCGCGUCAUGGCUCACACGCGCUAGAAGGACAACCACUGGAACUCCAUGCCACCCUCUUCUCCAUGCAAGAACAUGCAGGUUUUGGGAUGUUCACUUUCCAGACCAGGAGUGUCGUCUGUUGCCGCUGCUGGAGCGACCACACGGUGGCAACCAUGGCGAUCCAAAGGUCAUCAGGGAAGUGGAUGAUGACGUCAUGAUGAUCCUGCUCUCUCCGUCGUUCAACCUUGACAUCAGCCACCCUCAUCCUCGUGACUCCAUAAGCACCUUCUUGUGAUGUGGAUAGGGCGGAAGUUCUCAUAUGCUGAAAUCUUGCUAGAGUCAGACAGACCAACACCCUCCUAUCCCAGAUUCGCGCUGCUACUACUUCAGGAAGGUCGGGGUCUGGGAUGGCACAGUGGUAUGGUGUUAAGUUAACUAGGGUCAAAAUUCUCAAUAUCUUACAUCUUCACCAAUUAGCAUAUUGAAGGUAGCUGGGCUCAUGGAGUGGGCUGACAUCGUUGCGGAGUCCGUCCAGGCACGCUGGGACUUAGCUACUCUGUUUCUCUUCCCAGCGCUGAAUUCCGGCAUGUGCGCCGCCUCACGGUUGAUCAAGCUUCCUCUGUUAAGUCUCUCUCUCCCUACAGAGUUUGUCUGUUCUUAUUAACAUUUUUUCAAUUGAAGUUGAAGUCAAAUCACUAUCCCGAGAGAGGAUAUUGAAAGAUAGUCAUAUGAGGACAAAUCAUCUUUGGCAUCCCCAGGCAAUUGGUAAUCUCUAACUGAAGGUAGCCAUUGCAUUUUCUCAUAAUGAUUCACUGGCCUUAAUCCAUGUGUUCCAUGAUCUAUUGAUAUAGUGAUCUAUUGGAUUUUUAGCUCCAGUUUGUCGCCAACAUUUUGUCCAAAAAUUAAAGGUUUAUUAUUUUUCAAGGUUCUUUGUUCUCUCAUACUUAUGUUUCUAAAUCUCUUUUGGUUGCACUGUACAUGAAUACAUGUAGACCAUGGAAGUUCACAUUUAAUAGAAGGUGUAUUUGUUAACCAGUUUGGUGUCGACAAAUGGUCUAUCUGUUCUAUCUCAUCUGUAAGAAUUUUAAAGACUGACAUAACCUAUCGGGUAGCCAAAUCUAAGUACUUGAAAUCCUGUCAGCAUUACUUGGGCUUCACUAAUUUGAUGAAGUGUUCUUUAUAUGUGUUGAAACUUUCAAGACAGGUGAUUUAUUUGAUUUCCCACAUUCUGAAGAAAUAUUAGUCCAUAUGAACAGAUUGUAAUCCAUGUAUUAAGAUUCAAGAACUAAUAGAGGAAUAGAUGAAAGCAAACUCUGCAAGUAAUUUUUUUAUUAUAUCCUUACAAGAUCAUAUAUCAUGUAAGUCUAAGCUAUGCCAUAGGAAAACCCACACGCUGGAAUGUGAAGGAUGAGAAGUAUCUUACAUGAAACACGCAGAUUAAGUUGUAAGAAGUGCUCUUCAGAAGCAUAAUAUCUGUUAAAAAAAAUUGUUUUUUGGUUUCUGGCAAUACAAUUUUAGUCGUUCUUUGCUUUUGGGUGAUACAAUCACUUCGUGGACGCAGUAGCGGGGCGCAUCACUCUACCUCAAUGACCCAACUAUUGCGCUUUCUCCUCGGCUCCACCUGACCACACGCCUCGAUUUGGUGCUCCUCCUCCACCCUACUCUUUCAACCGUGCACAUCACCAGCAGCAUUUCUUAAGUUUUUCAGUAGUGAUGGGAUCUGAAGUUUGCGACAUCUGCUGUUUUUAGUAGUGAUGGGAUCUGAAGUUCAUGACAUUCCAUGGCUCUGCAUUUUGUUUUUUAAUCUGUUUGAAAGGAAGUAAAUAGAAGUACGAGGUCUCUUGCUGCCAUUUAUAACUAAAACUAGGUUACUGUAAUCUUUGUUUAGUACUUAGAAAUAUUACUCUGCAUAUAUAAUCUCGAUUUUGAUAUUUUGGCUCAUUAAUAACCAGAUUGUUAUUCUGACAAGAGGUUUGAUCUCAAGGUUGUAAGAUUUUGUGGAAUUUUGUUUAAGAAUGAAUAUAUGCAGAUACUUACGUAUAUUUCGCUAUCAUGUACUAUUUAUGAUGCAAUCUUAUAUGUAUCAUCUUUAGAUUAUAAUUUGGAACUGUUGGGCUGAUAUAGCAACCUCUAAACAUUCCAACAAACACUGAAUAGAGAUCUGAUUACAGUUAUUUUUUCUGAAAUGAAUUUAUAAACUCUUCCAUUGAAAUGCUCUGAACACCCCCUCCGAUCUCAACUGGUAGACAAGGUGAUUCACACUCAAACAUUAUAUUUGAUCUUGAUGGCAGGAAUCUCCUUUAUGGGCCUGUCGAGAUAUCUAAAAGUUGUUUCUUCAUAAUCUUAAUAUCCUAUAAGACAACCUUUUUCCCUAUACAUAAAGGUUCUUGUGUACAGCUGUUUACCUAUUUCCAUCAGACUAUCACUACAUAUAUCAUAUGUUUCAAAACUUUUGGUAGGACUUCUUUUGGUAUUAAAUGAUUCUUUCAAGGUCAAUUAACUUGCACUUGUAGACUUGAAUUUUAAAAUGGUCAGUGAUUUGUGAAAACUUAUUUGAAGAAAAGAUGUUGAAAGAUAUUGCACUGAUGUUUCCCCUCCUAUUUCCUACAAGCUAUCAGAUGGGCAUUACUCGUCAAUAAUCAAACUCUAUUGUCCAAGCUUUCCAUUGAUGCAAGAUUACAUUUGGUGCAGUGGUAGACAAAUCCAAACAAUAGGAGAAAUGGCAUUAUGACUGAUUAGCCUACGCUGAGAUGGAUGUUGCCAAGUUUAAACAAGUUUCCUAGACCAUGUUGUAUAUUUUUAGUUUCGUUUCAUUUAUAGUUUUGUGGUCUAAAAAUCCUACUCAAGUUUACUUGUA